UGGAGUAUGAUAGAAGUAAAGGGUGAGUGUUAGGCUAGCCACUAAAGAGAGGGUGUUGUACACUCUUGUGUAAUAUUGUUGUGUUGUAAUAAAGUUUUGUUUCUUACAAGUGUUAGUCUCCCGAUUGGACUAUAGAGUUUCUAAGUAGUUAGUGCAUAAGUUGUGAUCCAUCGAAAGUUGGCUUUGUCACCCGGGAUCACAAGGGUCUGGACUUCAUCAUAGGUUAGCUCUGCCAGCCGGAAGUCAGCUUUAUCUGUUGGUAGGCUCUGCCACCCGGAAGUGAGAAGGCGGCUCUGCCGUCGAAAGGACCCGUCGUACUAAGUAACUAGAAAUUAAAAGAGCUGACCGACUCCAAAGUGAGUUGGUGUCUUAGGUAUAGCUCCUCAUAUUAGUGGGUAUUAGGACCACCUCAAUUUCCAACAGUUUACAUCUUUAAUCUUUGGAUUUGCUAUCUCCCUAACAUAAAUGCUUGUGUUUCUGCCUGUAAUGUAUCACAUAGGCAGCCCUUGUAGGUGGAAAAAGAGGAGAACGAGCAGAAUGUGGAGAACAAGGAGCGGGAGCAGGAGCAAGCUCCUCAAGAAGUAUGGGGUCACCAAUCAACCCUCGCAGAUCUGAGGACCUCCAAGCUGCCUGAACCUCUUGGCAAUUUUGUUUUUUCUAUGUUGUGGUGGCUCUGUUAUGUGAGCUGCUUGGCUUUUUUGAGAUCCGAGGCCAGUUGUAUCAGCUUUGAGAAAAGAUGAUGAAUGAUGGUGGACUGUUUCUGCAAUGCAACUGAUGCUCUGGGGCUCGAACCCUAGAACUUGAUUAAGAAACAUCUUUACCACGCGUCUUUAUAUUUUGCCUUUCUUUUUUCUAUCAAUUUUUCUGCAUCGUGUGAUUU
rnacentral:lncRNA from 1 species